rnacentral:rRNA from 1 species
AGUGAACGCUGGCGGUAGGCCUAACACAUGCCAGUCGAACGGCAGCACAGUAAGAGCUUGCUCUUACGUGUGGCGAGUGGCGGACGGGUGAGUAAUACAUCGGAAUCUACUUUUUCGUGGGGGAUAACGUAGGGAAACUUACGCUAAUACCGCAUACGACCUACGGGUGAAAGCAGGGGAUCUUCGGACCUUUCGCGAUUGAAUGAGCCGAUGUCGGAUUAGCUAGUUGGCGGGGUAAAGGCCCACCAAGGCGACGAUCCGUAGCUGGUCUGAGAGGAUGAUCAGCCAGACUGGCACUGAGAAACGGUACCGACUCCUACGGGAGGAAGCAGUGGGGAAUCUUGGACAAUGGGGGAAAGCCUGAUACAGCAAUACCGCGUGGGUGAAGAAGGACUUCGGGUUGUAAAGUCCUUUUGUUGGGAAAGAAAAGCAGCAGGUUAAUCCCCCGCUGUUCUGACGGUACCCAAAGAAUAAGCACCGGCUAACUUCGUG